GUGUUGAAAUUCUGUAAAUAGAAUACAUUUAUUUAUUCCUUCUGGCUUUUAAUGGGCAAUAUUGAAGAGAAUACAUUUGUUUAUAGUAAUCUAUGUACAUCUUUUAGAGGUUUAGAACAUGUGGUUGAAAUCAGAUUUGAAGAAAGAAAAGAGCCACAUUAUGAGUGCAGGCUGUGUGGGUUCAAUACAGAGAUGGCACCUAUGAUAGAACAACUUAGUGGAUAUAAACACAGAAGAGCAUACAUCUCUAAAGAAUUUCCAGAUAAAAUGAAGAGAAAGACAACACAUGUAAAAGAAUGCAAAGUCUCAUUUCUCAGACUGAUAGCAGGAGAGCUGGAGAAAUGUGAAGGAUU